UACGAAGGGGGCUAGCGUUGUUCGGAAUUACUGGGCGUAAAGGGCUUGUAGGUGGCCAACUAAGUCAGACGUGAAAUCCCUCGGCUUAACCGGGGAACUGCGUCUGAUACUGGAUGGCUUGAGUUUGGGAGAGGGAUGCGGAAUUCCUGGUGUAGCGGUGAAAUGCGCAGAUAUCAGGAGGAACACCGGUGGCGAAGGCGGUUCUCUGGGCAUUACCUGACGCUGAGGAGCGAAAGUGUGGGGAGCGAACAGG
rnacentral:rRNA from 1 species